rnacentral:lncRNA from 1 species
UGCCACGCUUCAGGCGUGCAUUUGACUCAUUGGAUAUGACACUAGAUGAUUGUCCAACAGGGACAUCAAUACGGAUUGGAACGUUUUCCGCGGGAAUGUGGGAUUUUGUUAUCCUUUUCAAGUCCGUAAAUGCGUCAGGCAUUUGAUUUGUUAUUCUUUGCUAAUGGAUAAUAUUUUGCGCCUCUUUUUCACAAAUAGAGGUACAUGGAUCAAGAUGAGAUAAUGAUGCAUUUUUCUACAAAAUUUCCCGUUUGGCUUCACCAACUUCUCCCCCUAAUUUUGGGAAAAGUGUCUCAUCAAAUUGACAGUCUGCAAAUCGUGCAGUGUACAAAUCCACUGUCAAUGUUUCGAGGUAGUGA